rnacentral:rRNA from 1 species
AGACAUAUCAAUAAGCGGAGGAUCAUUA